UCAUUGCUGGAACGCGCCGCAAGGUGCACCCAGAAACCCUUUGUGAACUUAUACCUAUUAUCGUUGCCUCGGCGCUGGCUGCCCUGGACCUUCAGGUUUAGGGGCCCUCUCCUCGGAGGGGACAGCAGGCCCGCCGGCGGCCUACUUAACUCUUGUUUUUACUGAGUAUCUUCUGAGUAAAGCUUCUAAAUGAAUCAAAACUUUCAACAACGGAUCUCUUGGUUCUGGCAUCGAUGAAGAACGCAGCGAAAUGCGAUAAGUAAUGUGAAUUGCAGAAUUCAGUGAAUCAUCGAAUCUUUGAACGCACAUUGCGCCCUCUGGUAUUCCAGAGGGCAUGCCUGUUCGAGCGUCAUUUCAACCCUCAAGCUUAGCUUGGUGUUGGGGCAUUACCUGACUGUUUCUACAGGAGGGUAAGCCCUGAAAUUCAGUGGCGAGCUCGCCAGGACUCCGAGCGCAGUAGUGUAAACCUCGCUUUGGAUCGUACUGGCGCGGCCCUGCCGUAAAACCCCCAACUUCUGAAAAUUUGACCUCGGAUCAGGUAGGAAUACCCGCUGAACUUAAGCAUAUCAAUAAGCGGAGGA
rnacentral:rRNA from 1 species